rnacentral:SRP_RNA from 2 species
GCCGGGCGUGGCGGCGUGUGCCUGUCGUCCCAGCUGCUGGGGAGGCUGAGGCAGGAGAAUGGCGUGAACCCGGGAGGCGGAGCUUGCAGUGAGCCGAGAUUGCACCACUGCACUCCAGCCUGGGCGACAGAGCGAGACUCUGUCUCAAACAAAACAAAACAAACAAAAAAAGUUUUAUUUUUAUUUAUUUAGUUUUUGAGACGGAGUCUCGCUCUGUCGCCCAGGCUGGAGUGCAGUGACGCGAUCUCGGCUCACUGCAAGCUCCGCCUCCCGGGUUCACGCCAUUCUCCUGCCUCAG